AAUCCUUACGAGAAGAUGAGGUUUUUUGUGAUAUUAAACUAGAAACAGACGAUCACAAAAUAAUUCUCGCUCAUAAAGUGGUUUUAGCAUCGGAAAGUCCAUAUUUCUAUACCAUGUUCACCAAAUUUUCAAAAAAGAAUCAUGAUCUCGUUGUAAUGAAAGAGAUACAUUCAACCGCUUUACAGUUGCUAGUAAAUUUUAUUUAUUCGGGGCAUAUCGUGGUCACUGGAGAAAACGUUCAGGAUUUGUUGCCAGUUGCAAAUCUCUUGCAGUUACAAGAAGUAAAAGAGGUGUGUUGUGAUUUUUUACAGACACACCUCUGCCCUACAAAUUGUAUCGGUAUAUACGAUAUAGCUGAUUUACAUAGCUGUACGAAAUUGUUAACAAAUUCAGAAUUAUAUAUUCAACAGCAUUUUUCAGAAGUUGCUGUUGGCGACGAAUUUUUAUCGUUAUCAUCGGAAAAAUUAAUUAAGUUGAUCUCCACUGAUAAACUUAAUGUCCCAUCUGAAAAAAAAGUAUUUGAAAGUGUUAUUCGUUGGGUAAAACAUGAAUUGGGUUCCAAAAAAUGUAUUUUACCCCAAUUAAUGGAGCACGUGCGUUUACCUUUAACAUCGAAGAAUUACAUAUUAAAUAAUGUAGUUGAGGAACCUCUUAUUAAAAAUUGUUUAAAAUAUCUUAUUCCACAAAACAUCCGGAAUAAACCUAGACACGGAGAUAAAGUAUAA